GAGGAGCCUGCGGCGGAUUAGCUUGUUGGUAAGGUAACGGCUUACCAAGGCGACGAUCCGUAACCGGCCUGAGAGGGCGGUCGGUCACACUGACACUGACAUACGGGUCAGACUCCUACGGGAGGCAGCAGUCGGGAAUUUUGGGCAAUGGGCGAAAGCCUGACCCAGCAACGCCGCGUGAAGGAUGAAAUCCCUCGGGAUGUAAACUUCGCAAGAAUGGGAAGAAUUAGUAGGGGACAAUACCCCCUAUGAUGACGGUACCAUUUGUAAGCUCCGGCUAACUCCGUGCCAGCAGCCGCGGUAAUACGGGGGGAGCAAGCGUUGUUCGGAUUUACUGGGCGUAAAGGGCGCGUAGGCGGCCAGCGCAAGUCAGUUGUGAAAUCUCCGGGCUUAACUCGGAAAGGUCAACUGAUACUGCGCGGCUAGAGUGCGGAAGGGGCAACUGGAAUUCUCGGUGUAGCGGUGAAAUGCGUAGAUAUCGAGAGG
rnacentral:rRNA from 1 species